UUCCGGUUGAUCCCGCCGGACCCGACUGCUAUCAGAGUGGGACUAAGCCAUGCGAGUCGACAUAGCAAUAUGUGGCAUACGGCUCAGUAACACGUAGUCAACAUGCCCAGGGGACGUGGAUAACCUCGGGAAACUGAGGAUAAACCGCGAUAGGUCAUCACUUCUGGAAUGGGUAAUGACUUAAACCUAUAUGGCCCCUGGAUUGGACUGCGGCCGAUCAGGCUGUUGGUGAGGUAAUGGCCCACCAAACCUGUAACCGGUACGGGCUCUGAGAGGAGGAGCCCGGAGAUGGGCACUGAGACAAGGGCCCAGGCCCUAUGGGGCGCAGCAGGCGCGAAACCUCUGCAAUAGGCGAAAGCUUGACAGGGUUACUCUGAGUGAUUUCCGUUAAGGAGAUCUUUUGGCACCUCUAAAAAUGGUGCAGAAUAAGGGGUGGGCAAGUCUGGUGUCAGCCGCCGCGGUAAUACCAGCACCCCGAGUGGUCGGGACGUUUAUUGGGCCUAAAGCAUCCGUAGCCGGUUCUACAAGUCUUCCGUUAAAUCCACCUGCUUAACAGAUGGGCUGCGGAAGAUACUAUAGAGCUAGGAGGCGGGAGAGGCAAGCGGUACUCGAUGGGUAGGGGUAAAAUCCGUUGAUCCAUUGAAGACCACCAGUGGCGAAGGCGGCUUGCCAGAACGCGCUCGACGGUGAGGGAUGAAAGCUGGGGGAGCAAACCGGAUUAGAUACCCGGGUAGUCCCAGCUGUAAACGAUGCAGACUCGGUGAUGAAUUGGCUUAUUGCUAAUUCAGUGCCGCAGGGAAGCCGUUAAGUUUGCCGCCUGGGGAGUACGGUCGCAAGACUGAAACUUAAAGGAAUUGGCGGGGGAGCACCACAAGGGGUGAAGCCUGCGGUUCAAUUGGAGUCAACGCCGGG
rnacentral:rRNA from 1 species